AUUGAACGCUGGCGGCAUGCUUUACACAUGCAAGUCGGACGGCAGCACAGAGAAGCUUGCUUCUUGGGUGGCGAGUGGCGAACGGGUGAGUAAUAUAUCGGAACGUACCGAGUAAUGGGGGAUAACUAAUCGAAAGAUUAGCUAAUACCGCAUAUUCUCUGAGGCGGAAAGCAGGGGACCUUCGGGCCUUGCGUUAUUCGAGCGGCCGAUAUCUGAUUAGCUAGUUGGUGGGGUAAAGGCCUACCAAGGCGACGAUCAGUAGCGGGUCUGAGAGGAUGAUCCGCCACACUGGGACUGAGACACGGCCCAGACUCCUACGGGAGGCAGCAGUGGGGAAUUUUGGACAAUGGGCGCAAGCCUGAUCCAGCCAUGCCGCGUGUCUGAAGAAGGCCUUCGGGUUGGAAAGGACUUUUGUCAGGGAAGAAAAGGCUGUUGCUAAUACCGACAGCUGAUGACGGUACCUGAAGAAUAAGCACCGGCUAACUACGUG
rnacentral:rRNA from 1 species